rnacentral:sRNA from 1 species
GCAGCUUGCACGCCGUCUUCUUAGGCCCCC